GACGAACGCUGGCGGCGUGCCUAAUACAUGCAAGUCGAGCGAAUCGAUGGGAGCUUGCUCCCUGAGAUUAGCGGCGGACGGGUGAGUAACACGUGGGUAACCUGCCUGUAAGACUGGGAUAACUUCGGGAAACCGGAGCUAAUACCGGAUACUUUCUUUUCUCGCAUGAGGGAAGAUGGAAAGAUGGUUUCGGCUAUCACUUACAGAUGGACCCGCGGCGCAGUAGCUAGUUGGUGAGGUAACGGCUCACCAAGGCAACGAUGCGUAACCGACCUGAGAGGGUGAUCGGCCACACUGGGACUGAGACACGGCCCAGACUCCUACGGGAGGCAGCAGUAGGGAAUCUUCCGCAAUGGACGAAAGUCUGACGGAGCAACGCCGCGUGGGCGAAGAAGGCCUUCGGGUCGUAAAGCUCUGUUGUUAGGGAAGAACAAGUACGAGAGUAACUGCUCGUACCUUGACGGUACCUAACCAGAAAGCCACGGCUAACUACGUGCCAGCCGCCGCAGUAAAAC
rnacentral:rRNA from 1 species